rnacentral:rRNA from 1 species
GACGAACGCUGGCGGCGUGCCUAAUACAUGCAAGUCGAGCGGACCUCUUCGGAGGUCAGCGGCGGACGGGUGAGUAACACGUGGGCAACCUGCCUGUAAGACUGGGAUAACACCGGGAAACCGGUGCUAAUACCGGAUAAUCCUUUUCCUCACAUGAGGGGAAGCUGAAAGACGGUUUCGGCUGUCACUUACAGAUGGGCCCGCGGCGCAUUAGCUAGUUGGUGGGGUAACGGCCCACCAAGGCGACGAUGCGUAGCCGACCUGAGAGGGUGAUCGGCCACACUGGGACUGAGACACGGCCCAGACUCCUACGGGAGGCAGCAGUAGGGAAUCUUCCGCAAUGGACGAAAGUCUGACGGAGCAACGCCGCGUGAGCGAUGAAGGCCUUCGGGUCGUAAAGCUCUGUUGUCAGGGAAGAACAAGUACCGGAGUAACUGCCGGUACCUUGACGGUACCUGACCAGAAAGCCACGGCUAACUACGUGCCAGCCGCCGCCGUAAUAC